CCCUGCUCCGCCCGGAACCGGCUCUGCGCGACCGCGGCAGCGGCGGGGAGGACAGCAUGGGCGGCCCGCGGGCCUGGACGCUGCUCUGCCUCGGGCUCCUGCUCCCGGGAGGCGGUGCCGCGUGGAACGUCCCGGGCGCCCGGUUCUCGGGUCGCAGGAACUGGUGCUCCUACGUGGUGACCCGUACUGUCUCCUGCCAUGUGCAGAAUGGCACCUACCUCCAGCGAGUGCUGCAGAACUGCCCGUGGCCCAUGGGCUGCUCUGGGAGCAGCUACAGAACUGUGGUGAGGCCCACGUACAAAGUGAUGUACAAGACAGUGACUGCCCGUGAAUGGAAGUGCUGCCCCGGACAUUCAGGGGUGACCUGUGAGGAAGGCUCCCCUGGCUUCCUGGAGCCCACGUGGUCAGGAAGCACCAUGCGGCGGAUGGCAGUGCGGCCCACAGCUUUCUCAGGUUGUCUCAACUGCAGCAGAGUGUCUGAGCUGACCGAGAGGCUGAAGGCGCUGGAGGCCAAGGUGGCUGUUCUGAGUGUCACAGAGCAGACAGUAUCUUCCAUCCCAGCUCCCCCUGAGGACUCUGCCCUGCUUUGGGGAUCCCCAGCUGCCCAGGGCAGCCCUGGAGAUGGAGACCUGCAGGACAGAGUUGAUCCUUGGGAGCUGCCUGGGCCCAUUGGCCCCAAGGGGGACACUGACAGCCAGAGCUCAGUGAGGAUGAGAGGCCCACCAGGUCCACAGGGACCCCCAGGACGCCCUGGCCAGACCGGGGCUGCAGGCAUCCCUGGAGAGAUGGGUCCUCCAGGACCUCCAGGCCCUCCUGGGCCCCCAGGCCCUCCAGCCCCUGCUGGGCCACCCCAUGCCCAUAUCUCCCUGCAUGGAGAUCCAUUACUGUCAAAUACCUUCACCGAGACUGGCAGCCACUGGCCUCAAGGACCCACUGGGCCCCCAGGCCCUCCAGGCCCCCCAGGGCCCAUGGGUCCUCCUGGACUUCCUGGCCCCGCGGGUGUCCCUGGGAGUCCUGGACACAUGGGAACCCCAGGCCCUUCCGGACCCAAAGGGAGCUCUGGCCACCCGGGGGAGAAGGGUGAGAGGGGACUGCCUGGGGAACCUGGCCCCCAAGGGCUAAUGGGGUUGCAGGGAGAACCUGGCCCCAAAGGAGACCCUGGAGAGAAGAGCCAUUGGGGGGAGGGGUUGCACCAACUACGCGAGGCUUUGAAGAUUUUAGCUGAGAGGGUUUUAAUCUUGGAAACAAUGAUUGGGCUCUAUGGCUCCUAGCUUACAGAGCUUCCUGCUGCAGCAGGCCCAGCUGGAGCUCCUGGCCAGACGGGUCACCCUGCUGGAAGCCAUCAUCUGGCCAGAACCAGAGCUGGGAUCCGGGGUAGGCCCUGAUGGCACGGGUACCCCCAACCUCCUUCGAGGCAAGAGGGGAGGACACCCAACCAACUACCAGAUCGUGACCCCCAGAAGACGCAACGAGAGGAGCUGAGGAUGGUGGUGGCUAUUCCUCCCCUAGCCUGCACCCGGCUAGCUGCCUCCAGAGACUGCCAGUUCCUAUUUAUUAAUAUCCUCAGGGACCCGUGCCAUCUUGGCCUUAGGGGUAGGCAGGCAGGUCUCAGUGACGUCAGUCUACACAUGACAGACUAGGCAGGGACUAGUCCUGAGGGGAAGCCUACUCAGGAGUCAGGCCUCACUUGCGCCUGGUCUAUUUCCCUGUGAAAUGGGGUGUUUUAAAAGGCCUUAAAGGGGAGCAGUGGAGGCAGAGGGCUUCCAGUGUUCUGACACAGGGACCGGGACUCUGCCUGGCCCUGCAGACAUGUAAGGAUGGGGGCACAAGUCCCAGUUCCCUCCUUAAAACCUCGGGGAGUCCCGUUUCCUGGUGCUGAGUCCCCACCUGAGUCCAGGCUGCUUAAUCCCUGACUGGAUGGUUGGUGCUCCUUCUGUCUGUUCUACCCAAGCCCCCACUCCCUGGUGUCCCCGGUGGGGACGGGAUGUGUAGAAGGGACUCCAAGUAUCUGCUGCAGAUGCACGGACUGCUAUGUACUGGACAAUAAAUGUCCCUGCCUGA